CCCCAUCGGCUUCGUUCCUCUUUCGCUUUCGUCUUCCUCUCCACCCAAGUCAGUCGCCCUCGCCGCGGCGCCCCGCACCGCCGGGCACGCCACCUCCGCCGCCGACGCCGCCGACGGGAUCGACGCGAGCAUGACGCAGGCGGAGGCAGAUGCCGGCAAGGCGGCCAUCCAGCGCGCGCUGCGGGCGCUGCGGCAGCGGCAUCUCGUCGAGGAGGGGGCCCACCGCCCCGCCAUCGAGGCGCUCAACCGGCCCUUCGCCGCCCACGCUUUGGAGUGGAAAGAGAAGGCCGAGAAGAACGAGUUGGAGCUGCAGCAGUGCUACAAGGCUCAAUCCCGGUUGUCUGAGCAGCUCGUUUCCGAGAUAAACGAGGCGAAAACGUCCAAAGCGCUGCUCAAAGAGAAGGAGGCACUGAUUACGGCUUUGCAGAGUGAACUUCAGCAGACUAGCGAAGAGAACGUACAGCUAAAACAGUCACUUGAAGAGAAGACAAACGCUUUAGAUCUUCUCGUUCAGGAGCACCAGGCGGCUAAAGCCGAACUUGAACGGGUGCUAACAAAACUUAAAGCUGUGGAGCAUGAGAACACACAGCUGGUUGAGCGAUUGAUGCAAGCGAAGAUGGUGGAGGCAGAGAAGCUUAAUGAGGCCAAUGCGAUGUAUGAGGAGAUGGUCCUAAAGCUAAAGGCAGCUGGGCUUGGCGCUGGCGGAAUACAACACCAUGCACAACAAGAAGCUGAUGGCGUCAUUCGGCGAUCCGAAGCUGGGUAUGUUGACAUCAUGGAAACACCAAUCCCAUCUACAUGCAGGAUCACCAUCCGUGCUCAUGAUGGUGGGUGUGGAUCUAUAAUAUUCCAGAAUAACACAGAUAAGCUAAUCAGUGGUGGCCAGGAUCAAACUGUCAAGAUAUGGUCUGCGCAUACUGGUGCUUUAACCUCCACUCUGCAGGGUUGCUUGGGGACUGUCAACGAUCUUGCUGUGACCAACGAUAACAAGUUUGUAAUUGCCGCCUGUAGCUCUAACAAGUUGUUUGUAUGGGAAGUUAAUGGGGGGCGUCCUCGUCACACUCUGACUGGCCACACAAAAAAUGUCUGUUCUGUAGACGCAAGCUGGGUGAAAAGUUUGGUCAUUGCUAGUUCAUCCAAUGACCGCACUAUCAAGAUCUGGGAUCUCCAGACUGGCUUCUGUAAAAGCACCAUAAUGUCAGCAAGCAAUCCCAAUACACUAGCUUUCAUCCAUGGCGAUGCCAUUUGCUCAGGUCAUAGGGAUGGAAGCCUAAAGUUCCAUGAUAUCCGCAGUGGAAAAUGUUUUGCCACGGUAGCAGCUCAUAUUGAUGUCAGCUCGAUCUGUGUAACCCGGAGCAAAAACCAUGUUCUUUCAAGUGGGAGAGAGGGCGUGCACAAGCUUUUUGAUGUUAGAAUGCCGACGGAGGUAGUGGAGAUUUGUGGAACAUUCAGGGCCCCGAGUAACAGAUUGGUUGGCAGCUGGGGCAGAGCUUGUAUAAGCCCGGAUGAGAACUGCAUAGCGUCUGGCUCCUCUGAUGGGUCUGUUUGCAUAUGGUCGAGAUCGAAGAACGAGGGGCCGACCAUCCUAGAGGGCCACUCAUUGCCGGUUGUUACAAGUGCAUGGUCUGAGUUUGGACCUCUUGCCACCGCCGACAAGAAUCAUAUUCAUAUAUGGGCUUGAGACCCGUGUUUCCUUCGGUCAUUCAAACCAGGAUGUGGAGGGUUUCGCUUCAAUAUGGUAUUGUUCCAUUCUUGAGGACACUCGUUUGCAUGUAAAUGACUUAGUUAGUGUCUAAUUCAAUUGUAAUUAUGAAAACUGACAGCACGGUACGGUCAUCUGCUUUCCUCUCUGUAUGUUUUUAGGGGAUUUCUGUCAUCUGUUGCUGGUAAAAUGAUGGGUUUGCGAGUUCUUCGACACAAUUCAAGUUUCUGUAGGGUUUAACAUGUGCAUUUGCUGACACCUGUGGGUUCUUAUCUCUUAUGGCAAAUUAGUGGGUGUAACCCUUUCGGGGCAGCAAAGCUUGGCCACAUCGAGGAAGAUGGCAUUGGCUUUUUUUCUGGUUACAUGCUCCCUCCAAACCGAGUGAGUAGAUUGCAUAUGAAUACACUAUUUUUAACUCAGUUGUUGUCUUUGUAUGGGGGCUUCAUUCAGUCUUGCCAGGUUGAGCUUGAUUGAGAUUUGGCAGACUAAGAUGGGAUGGUCUUAGGUACAAUGUUUCAUUUUGUCAGAUGCAUGAUGAUGAACCAGAGCAAGCUUUGAAUACU
rnacentral:rRNA from 1 species